rnacentral:Y_RNA from 1 species
GGCUGGUCCGAAGUUAGUUAUCUAAAUUGAUCACAGUCAGUUACAGAUUGAACUCCUUGUUCCACUACUUUCCCUCCUCACUACUGCUCUUGACUAGUCUAAA